rnacentral:rRNA from 1 species
AUUGAACGCUGGCGGCAUGCUUUACACAUGCAAGUCGAACGGUAACAGGCCGCAAGGUGCUGACGAGUGGCGAACGGGUGAGUAAUGCAUCGGGACGUGCCCAGUCGUGGGGGAUAACGCAGCGAAAGCUGCGCUAAUACCGCAUACGAUCUAUGGAUGAAAGCGGGGGACCGUAAGGCCUCGCGCGAUUGGAGCGGCCGAUGUCAGAUUAGGUAGUUGGUGGGGUAAAGGCUCACCGAGCCAACGAUCUGUAGCUGGUCUGAGAGGACGACCAGCCACACUGGGACUGAGACACGGCCCAGACUCCUACGGGAGGCAGCAGUGGGGAAUUUUGGACAAUGGGCGCAAGCCUGAUCCAGCAAUGCCGCGUGCAGGAAGAAGGCCUUCGGGUUGUAAACUGCUUUUGUACGGAACGAAACGGUCCUGGUUAAUACCCGGGGCUAAUGACGGUACCGUAAGAAUAAGCACCGGCUAACUACGUGCCAGCCGCCGCGGUAACAC